rnacentral:rRNA from 1 species
GGAUGUGAUCAUACCAGCACUAAAGCACCGGAUCCCAUGGCGAGAGUAGUACUAGGAUGGGUGACCUCCUGGGAAGUCCUCGUGUUGCAUUCC